rnacentral:rRNA from 1 species
GUAGAUCAUCUGCCCUCAGGACCGGGAUAGCUGCGGGAAACUGCAGGUAAUACCGGAUAACAUCUCCGGAUCAAAGGUGUGAUUCCGCCUGAGGAUGAGUCUACAUCCUAUUAGCUAGUUGGUAGGGUAACGGCCUACCAAGGCGAUGAUGGGUAGCGGGUGUGAGAGCACGACCCGCGUCAUUGGGACUGAGACACUGCCCAGACACCUACGGGUGGCUGCAGUCGAGAAUCUUCGGCAAUGGGCGCAAGCCUGACCGAGCGACGCCGCGUGUGGGAUGAAGGCCUUCGGGUUGUAAACCACUGUUAGAGGGGAUGAAAUGCAGGUGGGUUCUCCCAUCUGUUUGACAUAGCCUCAGAGGAAGGACGGGCUAAGUUCGUGCCAGCAGCCGCGGUAAGACGAACCGUCCAAACGUUAUUCGGAAUCACUGGGCUUAAAGGGUGCGUAGGCGGCGCGGAAAGUUGGGUGUGAAAUCCCUCGGCUCAACCGAGGAACUGCGCCCAAAACUACCGUGCUC